GGGGUUGUGGCUCAGUGGUAGAGCACAGGCCUAGCAUGUGUGAGGUACUGGGUUUGAGUCUCAGCACCACA
rnacentral:tRNA from 1 species